GGGGAUUGGCUCCCCGCUUUUGGCAUGCGUUAAAAAUGUUGAUGACUUGCCAGUGUAAAAGUUUUAGCUUUAGUACCGAACUCUUCCCAGACCUCCACAGCCUGAGAAACGUCCAGAUCAAAGUCUGAGUCUGUGGGUGGAUUUACCAGAGGGAAGUCUCGAUGUUUAAUAGGACACCCAGCAAGGAUAAUGAUGGCCUUCUGUGUGAGCAAACACGUCUGUGUGCUGAAGAUUGAGAUUGACAACAGAUUGAGAUGGACCGAAGGAGAGAUCUGGAGGAGAUGGACAGAUUUUAGAGGAUGAUUCAGUGCCGGCCACCAAUUGUGCAGAACCGCUGUUGAUAUGGCGGUAUAAAAUGAAUGAUGCAAUUUAGGUUCAUUGCAAUCUCAAUUUCAUUCCACAAAGAAAACAAAAAAGUACAGAAAGCAUGUUUACAAAGAUAAUUCAAAACACAGAAAACUGGUAUUGUGUGGUAUUGGUUUUCACCAAAGGAUGCUGGUGUCACCAGGCAUCCUGACUAGCUUAAAGGUGUAGUGUGUAUUUUUUAAAAAGAUCUCUUGACAGAAAUGCAAAAUAAUAUACAAAACUAUAUUAAAGACCUUUUUAUAAUGAACCAUUGUGUUUUUAUUA